ACGGGUCCAAUGGUUGCUGAGGGCAAGGUCGAAACAAAGGAGACGUCCAGGACUUGUGAGUCUUUGAGCACGAAAUUCAAGGGACCUUGCAUCCGAUCAAGCAACUGUGCAAAUAUUUGCGAAGAAGAAGGCUUCAAGGGAGGCAAAUGUGUUGGCUUCAGGCUGAGAUGUACGUGCACUAAGAAUUGUUAGUGAUAUAACACACUAACUUAUUUUGGUGCAUGGGAUUGAGAUGAAUGAAAAUUUUUUACCCUUUUUUUCGUUUUGUUUAAGAGAAUAAAUGACUAACCCUAAUAUAAAUUUUGGGGUUGUGUCUGUGUUUUUGUUCUUAUGCGCUAACAGUGCGUGAGUUAUUUUGUAAUCAAUAAAAUAAAAAAAUAAUAUCGUUCAUUUCUUAAUGUAAUGAUACUUUUUUUCUCUCUACACAAAUGUACUCUUUCUAGCAUUACUUUAAACUUUUUACCAAUGCGUAAUGUUGAUUAUACUAUUUGUAACUUUAGGGGCUGCUUUUGUUAGUUUUUAGAGGCCAUGAACCAACUCUCACUCACCUCAAGCCACAGAUAUGCGAAACGUAAUUGAUCCAAAUUAGUUAUAUGUACAACAAUGGAAACUUUCAUAUCCACAUCACUAAUUGACUUAAUAUGGCGCACAAAACUCUUUUUUUUUUGUUUUUUUUUUUUUGUUUUUGUGGAGAAAUUUUAGGAUUGCAUUUAUAAUUUAGUCAAAAAAAAGCCACUAGCUAUAAAGGGCCAUUACAAUAACGGAGCGGUCUAACAUCAAAAUUAAAACAAUCUGGUCCGCCUCCACUAACAAUCACUUAGGAUCGAAGAAACUCUGGCAUAGGCAUCCCAAUUAAGAUUGCAAACUCAGAAUAAUCAAACAGAGUUAAAGCUUGAAAAAAUCAAGCCAUAACAAUACAAAUAAAACUCUCACAAAGGAGAGAUGAAAAGCUCUCACAAAAGAGAGAUGAUAAUCUCUCACAAAUGAGAGGUGAAAAGCUCUCACAAAAGGAGAGCUGAAAACUACACAGACAACCCAGAGAGUUUCUGUGACUUAUUUCGAACAUAAAGAAACCGCAAAGAAGAUGGUGGUGGAGAUCCGAUGCCGAAAUGCAUGUGGCGAUCCAACGCCGAGACGCAGUCACCUGUGAUGGUUGGAGGAAAAUCAUAACAAAACGAAGACAAACAGGGAAAACCUUUUGUCUCUGAAUAUGAGGGAAGAGAAGAGAGGGAGGAAGAGAAGAGGGGAGAGAGGAGGAAGAAUAGUGGCUUCCUCCCUCGUCAAAGUGAACUUGUCAUUUUCUUAUUGGUUCUUAGUGUGUUAAAAUUUUAUAAGAAGAAAUUAGUCAUUAGAAAAUGAUAAGUGACUAUUUUGGGUUAAAGCCCUUUUUUCUUUUUCUAUUUUGGGAUUUAACUACAACGAUCCUCGAACUUAUACGAGUUCACAUUUAGUUAAUUCAGUAUAAUAAUUAAAAAAAUUGUUUGUUUUUUAAAGAUUAUUGUAUCCAAAUUAUUAGUUUUACCCCUCAGUUUUACCAAAUUUGAAAAAAUAACUAAAUUGAAACAUGCACGAGAUCUGAAGGACCAAAAUAAAACUAGAUAUAAAUUUAGGGAUCAUUGCAGUUAAAAAAACCUUUGAAUUUUACUAGCAAAAUGAAAAGCCAAAAGAAUAAUUACGAAAAAUAUAUAUAUAAAGAUUAUGCAUGUGAUAUUUCUAGUUAGGUGGUCACUGCACGUAGUGGAUUAGAUUCCACAUUGAAUAUCCAUAUCAAUUGGUAAUUAUCUUUUGUCAAGACAAUAGAAAAUGAUUUAAUUUUUACAAUAGUUCUUGCAUGCUAAUCAAUUACCAUAUCCGAAUAAAAUGACAUAAUAUAUUCUUGCUGGCGACUUAUAGUUUGCAUUCAUGUUUGUAAUGGACUCGACUCACAAAGAUUCAGAAGCUUUUUAAACCAAAAGGAAAAUGAAGAAAUAGAAGGAAAUCUUGUAUAGGAACAUGAUUGUUUUGGCAUAAAGUUUAGGUUGGAGGCUAUGAUUUCAGCAACUUCCUUUUGUUACCAACAAAUACAGAAAUACAGAAAAGGGUGGGGGAAAGUAAUUAAAGGAGGCAUUUCAAAAUAAUAGUGCUUUUAAAAUAUAUAUAUAUAUAUAUAUAUAUAUCAAGGGGCAAGUCCAUUUAAAUAAUGCUUGAAUAUGUACUGUUAAGUUUUCUUUUUGAAAAUUUGUGAUAAUUGUAUUCAAUAAUUCGACACAAAGAUCAAAUACUCAUAAAGGGUUAGUAUAAAGUUGUAUGCACAGUAAUUGCAGAUGGUUAAUUCAUAUAUAAGAGGAUACACUGGUGACAUUGCACAAUUUGUAUCUCCACUAAUAGUCCUAAAAGACCAAAUAUAUUUCGAUGUAACAGUCACAUGCCUGAGCAAAUCAGACAUGUAAUACAACGCCCAAAAUUACAAAUACAACGACAAUCAACUCUUACAAGUAGAGACUAAAACACAAAUAAACACCCAACUCACAAAGAGUUGUUGGUUUCAGUAUUUUAAAAAGUAGGAAAAUUACCCUUAAAAUUAUAAAUUAUUACACUAUUGGCCCUUUUGUGCGUCAAAUUACAAAUGAUUAAAAAGUUGACAUAUCCAUAUGAAAAAAGAAAAAUUGACACAUCACCUAUACUAGAAGGUUAAAUCUGUCCAACAAAUAAAAGGUUAAAUAGAAGGUUAAAAUUUUUCUAUAAGUUCUUAUUUGUUGUCCAUAUGACAUGUUCAUUUAGGUUUAUCAUCCAUGUCCGCAUAAAAUGGGCUAAUUAAGUGUUAGGUAAAAAUAACAAAGGUUAAAUUUCCCUCCACUCUCUAUUUUUCAUAGGUGUACCGCUCUUUACGGAAAUGCUCUUAAUUUGCUUCAUAACAACUCUAUAUAAAAGGCGUUGGAUGGUUAACCUUUGAAUCAAGGCAUCUUGAAUCAACAUUCAACAUCCCUCUGUCUGUGUUUUUGUUUCACACGCGUGCACGUACACACACAAAAAUCAAGAUGGAGGGAUCCAAACGUAUGUUUUCAACUGUCUUCAUCCUCGUCCUGCUCUUUGUGGCUAUUGGUAUCUCUCUCUUUCCUCAUUUUAAUUUCAUCUUUAUAUUUGAUUAGUGAUAUAUUUCUUUCCAAUGCUGAAAGACGUUUCAAGUUUGAAUCCACCUUCUCUCAUUCAUUUUUAUCGAUGAAUCUUUGGCAGGGACGGGUCCAAUGGUUGCUGAGGGCAAGGUCGAAACAAAGGAGACGUCCAGGACUUGUGAGUCUUUGAGCACGAAAUUCAAGGGACCUUGCAUCCGAUCAAGCAACUGUGCAAAUAUUUGCGAAGAAGAAGGCUUCAAGGGAGGCAAAUGUGUUGGCUUCAGGCUGAGAUGUACGUGCACUAAGAAUUGUUAGUGAUAUAACACACUAACUUAUUUUGGUGCAUGGGAUUGAGAUGAAUGAAAAUUUUUUACCCUUUUUUUCGUUUUGUUUAAGAGAAUAAAUGACUAACCCUAAUAUAAAUUUUGGGGUUGUGUCUGUGUUUUUGUUCUUAUGCGCUAACAGUGCGUGAGUUAUUUUGUAAUCAAUAAAAUAAAAAAAUAAUAUCGUUCAUUUCUUAAUGUAAUGAUACUUUUUUUCUCUCUACACAAAUGUACUCUUUCUAGCAUUACUUUAAACUUUUUACCAAUGCGUAAUGUUGAUUAUACUAUUUGUAACUUUAGGGGCUGCUUUUGUUAGUUUUUAGAGGCCAUGAACCAACUCUCACUCACCUCAAGCCACAGAUAUGCGAAACGUAAUUGAUCCAAAUUAGUUAUAUGUACAACAAUGGAAACUUUCAUAUCCACAUCACUAAGUGACUUAAUAUGGCGCACAAAACUCUUUUUUUUUUGUUUUUUUUUUGUUUUUGUGGAGAAAUUUUAGGAUUGCAUUUAUAAUUUAGUCAAAAAAAAGCCACUAGCUAUAAAGGGCCAUUACAAUAACGGAGCGGUCUAACAUCAAAAUUAAAACAAUCUGGUCCGCCUCCACUAACAAUCACUUAGGAUCGAAGAAACUCUGGCAUAGGCAUCCCAACUAAGAUUGCAAACUCAGAAUAAUCAAACAGAGUUAAAGCUUGAAAAAAUCAAGCCAUAACAAUACAAAUAAAACUCUCACAAAGGAGAGAUGAAAAGCUCUCACAAAAGAGAGAUGAUAAUCUCUCACAAAUGAGAGGUGAAAAGCUCUCACAAAAGGAGAGCUGAAAACUACACAGACAACCCAGAGAGUUUCUGUGACUUAUUUCGAACAUAAAGAAACCGCAAAGAAGAUGGUGGUGGAGAUCCGAUGCCGAAAUGCAUGUGGAGAUCCAACGCCGAGACGCAGUCACCUGUGAUGGUUGGAGGAAAAUCAUAACAAAACGAAGACAAACAGGGAAAACCUUUUGUCUCUGAAUAUGAGGGAAGAGAAGAGAGGGACACAACUAAAAAAAAGCAAAAAGACGACGGUAAAUCACCGUCGUGUAUUGGGUUUUUCAAUGGUCGUGGAAUCCACCGUCAUCUUUUCCCUCAUAAACCACGACGCUAAAUAACCGUCGUUGUUAAAAUAUACAACGUCAUCAACAAAUACAAAACGACGUCUUUGUACUGCAAAAAGAUCUAAAAAAAGCAAUCGAGGAUGAUAAUAGACGACCAGCUCUCUAAAAAAACCGUCGUUAAAAAGGAAAAAUAUGACACAUAUUAACAGAACAAGGCCGCAAGAUAGACAUACAACGACGAAAAUACAAAUACGACGACGUUAAAUAUAAUUUUCACGACAAUAAAAAAUAUGACGUCUUUAAAUACAUUAGAAGACGACGUUAUUGAUACCUACUACGUCGCAUAUAUAAAAACAACCGUCGUAAAAUUAAUUUUCCACUUCGAUUUUUCGAUAAAAGAUGACGUGGAAAUAGUUGUCAGUGUCAUUAUUUACGACGUAUAUGUUUAUAUAGUAGACGUUGAAAAACUAAACAACGUCGGUUACAAAUAUAUGAGAGUCGUAUUACAAAAUUUAUACGUCCUAUUUUCAGAAACAAACAACGACGAUAAAUAUUAGACGUUGUUAAAUAAAACAACGUCGGAAAAAAAUAAAAACAGACGUGUUUAGUCUGCUAAAGUUCUAGAAAAUAGUCGAGGAUGAGAAUAGACGACCAACUCAAAAAAAUCACCGUCGUUAAAAAGGAAAAAUAUGACACAUAUUAAAAGAACAAGGCCGCAAGAUAUACAUACAACGACGACAACUAAAAUACUACGCCGUUAAAUAUAAUUUACCCGACAAGAAAAAAUAUGACGUCUUUAAAUACAUGAGAAGACGACGUUAUUGAAAUCUACUACGUCUCUUAUUUACAAAAAAUCGUCGUGAAAUAAAUUUUCCACUUCGAUUUUUCUAAAAAAGAUGACGUGGAAAUAGUUGUCAGUGUCAUUAUUUACGACGUAUACAUUUAUAUAGUCGACGUUGUAUUUAUAUGUAUUCAUUACUCACGACGCACUUAAUAAUAUAGACGACGUUGAACUUCUAAACAACGUCGGUUCCAAAUAAAUGAGAGCCGUAUUACAGAACAUAUAGACGGCGUAGAUUAUGAUGAGAGCCGUAUUACAAAUAACGUCGUUUAAUUGUUAUUAGACGGCGGUUAUAAUGAAUUUCCGUUGGAAUUCAUUUCGUUCCUCUUCGUUUAUAAAAGAACUUGCGACGUGGAAAAUGUAUGAUGACGUCGUAUUUUUUAACGUUCAGAUUAUAUAUCUCGUUUUUUAGACGUCGUUAUUAUGGGAUUGGAGUCGUGUUAUUUUGAAUUACAUGGCGGUUCUUAAUCCUUCCCUGACGUGAUAUCCUGGAUAAUUGCUUCACAAUAGCGUCGUGGUUCUUCAUUGUUACGUUGCUUUAAGACGUCGGUAAAUAUGCUGAAUAAAUGGUUCACCAUAACAUCGUGUUUUAUUUGAACAGACGUUGUUUUUUAUGCAGAAUAUAAUGAUGUAAUCUGGAUCCAGUAUUUUUUGCACUGAUUGUUUUGUGGCCAAAACCUGUAUAAUGAAAGUGAAGAAAUCACAUUACAAUAUAUUAUAAAAUGAAUGUCAUACACUGCCAAUUACAUAAGCAUCAUUCAAUCCAUAUAUCUUCACACCCACCUCGAAUAUUUUGAGCACCUAACUCACCCACCAGUUCAUCAAAUGUGUCAACAUUUGGCAUCCCUCUAGUAAAUGGCUCACACUCAAUUAUCACAUCACCUAAGACUUCAUCACCAAUAACAUCAUUAUAUUCUCUAUUAGGCAUUGAUAACACUACCGACCAACCACGAUGCAUCGGGUCGUCAACAAAAAAUAUUUGUUUGACUUGAGAAGCCAAAACAAAUUGGUCAUUCCUAUGUCCAAUUUUACUCAAAUCUACAAGGGUAAAUCCAAGUUCGUCGACUACAAGACCAGAACUAUCUAUCCAAUCACACCUAAAGACUGGGAUUGUAAACUUUUGGUAGUCAAGGUCCCAAAUUUCUUGAAUGACACCAUAGAAACCCAUAUUUGAGAGAAUUGGGUUUUUAUCCUUGGCACUAGCAACUUGCAUGGUAUGUGCAAGUAAAUAAACUCCACUAUUUUGAGUUGUCCGCACAUCAUCUUGUGCCUUGAUAUUGAAUUUAAUACCUUUAAUAAGAUAGCUCCUAUAUAAUGGCACUGCCAUGUUUGGACCAGCUGCUAGCCACCUUAAAUUUUCUGAUACGCCAUUAUUGUCUUCCUCAAGUUCACUUUGAACCUGCAAAUUAAUCAAAUCUUAAUUCAAUCUAACAAAGAAAUAAGAAGAAAAUUAAAAGAGAAAUAUGUUAUUCAACAACAUAUACCUUGAAGCGUAGCCAUUGAAUGAAAGUGCUAUUGUGCUUAUCCUGCAGCCACUUUGUUCUCUUUCUAAAUUUUGGAUAAGCAGUCUUGAUGUGGAUCAUAUGUUGCCUACAUGACACGAAAAAUUCAAGCAUUACGGUCCCAAAUAUAUAAGAUAAACAUAAGAAAUAAUUUAAAAUGGAAACUUAAAGAAUAAAACUCAUACGUACUCGAUAUAAGGUAGGACUUCCUCCGUAUUCUCCAAGACAUAUAGAUGUGCUUGAUUCAACAGGUCCUGAUCAACUACGCUCACUGUGCAACCUGAUAAUGGCUUUGAAACUCCCAUCUUUUGGCUUGAAGGCACUCCAACUGUACUAACAUCAGAUAAAUGCUGAGUACAAAACUCUACCGAUUCUUCAGCUAUAUACCGCUCAGUAAUGCAACCUUCGGGACGAGUACGAUUCUGAACAUACCCCUUCACACUUUCAUAUAUCUUUCAAACGGAUACAUCCACCUAAAAUAUACUGGCCCACAUAGACGAACUUCUCUGACAAGAUGUACUACUAGAUGAACCAUGAUAUCAAAGAAUGAAGGGGGAAAGUACUUCUCAAGCAAACACAGAGUAACUACUACAUCUUCUUCCAACUUAUCUAGCUUGGAAACAUCAACAGUCUUUGCACAUAUAGCAUUGAAGAAGAAGCACAAACGAGUUAUUGCAUACCUUGCAGGCUUCUCCAAAACAGAACGAAUUGCCACAGGGAGCAAUUGUUGCAUUAAGGUAUGACAAUCAUGUGAUUUAAGGCCAAGAAGUCUUGAAUCUUGUAAAGAUACAAGAUUUUUAAUAUUUGAAGAAUAACCUUCAGGGACCUUCAUACCAUAGAAAGAAUUGCAAACCUCUCUCUUCUCUGCUCUUGACAAAUUCCAAGGCCCAGGAGGCAAACGAGUACGUCUUUCUCCAUACUCGGGUUGCAAAUCAGUUUUGACCCCCAUGUUCAAUAAAUCUAAUCGAGCAGCAAUCCCAUCUUUAUUUUUUCCAGGGAUCUCCAGCAAUGUACCAAUGAUACUAUCGCAAACAUUCUUCUCAAUGUGCAUAACAUCUAGGGCAUGCCUCACAGGAAGGUAUUUCCAAUACUCGAGAUCAAAGAAUAUUGAUUUCUUCUUCCAACAAACUCUGUCACCAUUUUCAACCAUAUGCAGCACUUCUUCUCCGGUUAAUGGCUCGGGAGGUAUGCCAUAUUCAGGUUUCCCAUUAAAAGCUGCACGUUGCCUCCUAUAUGGAUGAUUGAUUGGUAACCAUUUUCUAUGCCCAAUGUAACAAAUUUUGUGGCCAUUUUUCAACCUGUGACUAGGUGUAUCAUCGCCGCAUAUUGGACAACCUUUAUAUCCUUUAACAACACAACCAGAUAAGUUUCCAUAGGCGGGGAAAUCAUUAAUUGUCCACAUUAAUGCAGCUCUGAGUGUAAAGUAUUCUCCAUUAUGUGCAUCAUACACUCCUCUAAUCCCAACCCACAAGGAUUUUAAAUCAUCAAUCAAAGGCUCCAAGUAGACGUCUAUAUCAUUUCCGGGUUGUUUAGGACCGGAAAUCAAUAAGGUUAACAUCAUGAACUUUCGUUUCAUGCACAGCCAUGGAGGGAGAUUAUAUGUAACUAAGAUAACCGGCCAACAACUAUAUCUGCUACUUAGAGAACUGUGGGGAUUGAAUCCAUCAGAUGAAAGAGCCAAUCUCAAGUUUCUCGCCUCAUUACCAAACUCAGGCCAUUUAUCAUCAAGAAGUUUCCAAGACGGGGAAUCUGCCGGAUGAGACAUCUGACCGUCAAUUGAUUUUCUAGAAGCAUGCCACCAAGUCAAACUCUUAGCUGUCUCAUGUGAUUGAAACAUCCUUUUAAACCUUGAAAUUGGGGGAAAAUACCACACCACCUUCGCUGGCACACCCUCUUUCAAGAUUGAAUCUUUGCCUUCCUUCCACCUUGAGAUACCACAAGUAGGACAAUUAGUUGAAUCCUCAUACUCCUUCCUAUACAAGAUGCAAUCAUUGGGGCAUGCGUGCAUUUUCUCAUAACUAGCCCCAAUGCACACAAAGUCUUUUUAGCCUCAUACAUGGAGGUUGGUAUUGUAUUUCCUUCUGGAAGCAAAUCGCCUUGAAGUAUCAAUAAUUCUGUAAAACAGACAUCACUCAUCCCAUGUUUUGCCUUCAAAUUAUACAACUUCACUAAUGCCGAUAACUUCGUGUACUUUCUACAACCAGGGUACACUGGUUGAUCUCCAUCCCCAAUCACAUUGGCAAACUCAUACGGAUCCGAACCAAAAUCACCAAAAUCAUUAUCAUCCAUAUCAAUUUCUUCAGACACAAAACUGUACCUACUAUGGCCAUCAUCUUCUUCAACAUUUCUACUAGCAUUAGUAGUUGCUUCCCAAGGUUCUCCGUGAAAUGUCCAAUUCUUAUAGCUUUGGUCAAUUCCAUUAAAGUAUAAGUGAUCCCUUAUAAUUCCAACCCCAAACAACUUCAAAUUAACACAUUUAACACAUGGACAACGGAUAUGUGUUGUAGUUAGAAGAUUUUCUACAGCAAAGUUCAAAAAUGCUUCCACCCCAAAUUCAUAUGCCUUCGAUCUUCUAUCCGAGUGCAUCCAUGACUUAUCCAUCUCCGACACUAUAACCUAUGAUCUAUAAUAAAUUGAAAAUACAGGCAAUGACCAUCACUAUAGCAGAUUAUACAAUGAUCUAAUCGCAAGUAAUACACAACAGAGACGACGGGUUUUAAACAAAAACAGACGUAUUUGGCAUAUAUAGACGACGGAUUUUCAACAGACGUCGUCUAUUAUAAGUAAUACAAACGACGGUUUAUGAAAAAACCGUCGUGUAUAAGUAAUACAACGACGGUAGUUUAAAAAAACCGUCGUGUAAUCGUCGUCGUAUGCCUUAAAAUUCGUCGUGUCUCAGUUUAUUUUCAAGAACACAAAACCCAUUAAGAACACAACAUAUAUAUGAAACCAAGCAAGAAACCAACAUAUACAUGAAACCAAGCAUGAAAACAAUAAAUCCAUUCCCAAUUCAACAUAACAUAGGGUGAUUAAAAGAUACGACAAAAUUAAAUCCAUUCCCAAUUCAACAUAACAGAUAAUGUAAUCCAUGAACCCAUUAAACAGAAAAUCCAUGAACCCAUACCUAUAAGCACAUUAUUAACAGAUCGCAAAGCAUACACAUAAAACCCUUUAACAAAAUAACCUAAUAUCAUUCAAUGAAUUUACAAGGGGAAGAUAGGGUUUGUACUUACAGGUUGGACGAGCUCACAGAUUCGACGGAGCCUGGAGAGUGCAACUUUUAAUUAGAGCAGAAGUGAGAGAGCGAAAUGUUAUGUCGCGCGAAAUCUGAAAAUUUUAGGUUUCAGGGUUCGAAGUAUAAGAAUAAGAGCCAAAUCUAAAAAAAUUUAGGUCGCGCGAAAAUUUUUAGAGCUCGCGCGUUUUAAAACGUCGAAAGAAAAACCAAGGCGAAAGUUCUACAAGUACCGACGUAAAUUUAAUAUUCCACGACGGAAACUUCAUUUUUCGGAUUAAGAACGUAAGGCCGUUCAUUUUUCGGAUUAAUUUUAAAUUUAUUUUGAAUUUUUUAUAUAACGACGACUGAAAAACCACGUCGGUGUUAAGAAAUUAAAGACGUUGUAAAUUAUAUAAACCGACUUACAUAUUAAAAUGACGUCGUUUAAAGCGUAAACCAUGUCGUAUGUUUUACUGUACGACGUAAAAUAUGUAUUCCACGACGCAACCACCGUCGUUAAAAAUUAAUACCCUAAACCCAUAAAACUAAAUUAUACAAUUUAAAAAAUUAAGUUUAUAAAAGGUUUUAUGGUUUUAAAGCCUAACAUAUACCCUAGACUACCCAAAAAUUAUACUUUAAAAAUAAACCCCAAUAAAUAACAACCCUAAUCUCUAAACCCUAGACUCUAAACCCUAAACCAUAAAACUAGAAGUGAUUUUAUGACUCAUCAAAACAAUUUUGUUUUGGAUGGUCAUUUUAAAUUUUUGUUAUUCAAAAUGAAUUUUUUCAAGGUUUAUGUGGAAGAAAAUAUAUCAAUGACUUCAUAGGAGUUGACUUUUCAAUUUUCUGAUUUAUUUUAAAUUUAUUUUGAAUAUUUUGAUAUAAAAAUAAUAAAAUAUUCUUACCACAACAACAAACCACGUCGGUGUUAAUAAAUUGUAGACGUUGUAAAUUGUAAUAGACUACUAAGUCGUUAAAAUGACGUCGUUAAAAUGAGAAACCAUGGCGGCUAUUUAACUAUACGACGUAAAAUAUAUAUUCCACGACUUAACCGCUGUCGUUACAUAAACGUCGUCGAUGAUACCCUGAACCCUUAAGAAAUUGAAGAUGUUGUAAACCAUAAACGACUCAAUUGUUCAAAGAACGUCGUCUAACUAUAUUUUUACGUCGUAUUUGUUUAAAACACGAAACAACAAAAUACGACGGUUUUUGACUUUAUUAGGUCGUUGGAAAAGUAUUACACGUCGGUUAAGCAAUUUGUAUGUUUGUUUUUUUUUUAAUUUAAGAAAACCUCAACAAAUUUUUACAUUACAUAUUAUAGAGAAAAUUUGUACAUUAUACAUAAAUAUCAAGUGUUCAAUAAUUGCCCUGUUUAAUAAUUUGGAAAACAAACUCUGCCCAUUCAUUCCGGACUUCAUCAAUGGCUUCUUGGGGGUAUGAAGCUUCCUGGUUUCCCUUGGCAUACUGCAUAAACAAUGACUAUUAGGGUUUAUAAAUAAAAAGAAAUUCAAUCACAGACGACGAUAUUUUUCAUAACCGACGUAGUAUAUCCAUUCAACGACGUUAAUUUUACAUGACCGUCGUUGAUAAUACAAAAAACGACGUUAAAUGUAUGAAGGUAAUUUCUUCUUACCUUAUACUCAAACCCCAAGGAAGGAUCCAUGAUGAUGUCCCUCAUGAAGCGCAUCACAUAAUACCCGCAUUCGACAUUGCUGGGUUACUUUGGUGUGCCUGAGAGAGUUUUCCAAAUUACAUUUUUACGUCCUGCUCGGGCUAUGUGGGUAUUAUAUAUUUUUAAAGCACUGUUCACGAUGUUUUUCGCCUCUUCGUCGACCACACGAUGACCUGGCAGAGGAUCCAGAAAAUAGACGGUCUCCUUCUUUGCUCUUACAAUCAGCAAGAUCCAAUGACGGCUGCACAAAAUUAAUAUAAAAACGACGGUUAUUUACAAAAACGACGUAUUAUAGUAUUUCACACGACGAAAUAAAGUAGAUAACGACGACAUUAUAUAUUUAUCACGACGAUAAAUAAAUACCGACGUGGUUAGUAGUUUCAAAUGACUAAAUAAAAUAAAACACCGACGUGGUUAGUUUAUAAGCUGUCAUUUAUUGAAAAUCAUAAAAACAAAAUCCUAAGGAGACUAACCCUGGAUUGUAAGGCAUCAUGAAAAUCUGUUCACCGUUUGUCUUCUGAAGUCGAUCUGCUACCAGUCGUGAUCUUUCAGUUAUUGUGCCAGAGUUGGCACUAACUGUAGCAGGGUCGAUAAAGCCAACCAUGCUGCACAUAUUGGCUUGUUUCAAAACAUCGUGUAAGUACCUAAAUACAUAAAAUAAUAUAAACAAGUCAGCACAAAAAAACACGACGGUUAUGUAUAAAAAAACGACGUAUUAUAAUAUUUUACACGACGUACUGAAAUAGAUGAGGACGUUAUAAUAUAUUUAUCACGACGGUAGUUAGUUAAGACGACGUGGUUAGUUAGUUAAGACGACUCAAUAUAUAAACCAACGAGGUAUUAUUUUAGAAGUACAAACCUCAUAUAUACAACCAAUACAGUAGCUCCAAUUUCUUCCAUGCCUGCAAAUUGUGUAAUAUCUUCAGGCAGGAGGAAGGUAUCGCGCUCACCACCAAACACCUCCUUAUCAAUUGUAAAUUGGAGUGUCUUAUCCUCAGGCAGGAGUGUCGUUUCCACAAAACGACAAAGGGUUUUUAAAGAAGAUGGCGCCUCCAUAUUUGAAUAAUCACCAACUUCAAUAACCUGUUUAAAGAAAUAAAAAAAAUGACGUGGUAAUUCAAUAAAGACGACGGUUUAAGGAAUAAAACGUCAUCUUAAAAGUAUUUAAACGACGGUGAAAAAACUGUCGUGGUAAUUCAAUAAAGACGACGGUUUUAUGAAUAAAGCGUCGUUUGAAACCAUUUAAACGACGGUGCAAAAACCGUUGUUUAAAUAUUUUAUUACGCCUUAAAAAAAUUCCGCCGUCUAAGUUGUAAACAAACGACGGAUUAAAUAAAAAUAUCGACGUCUGAAAUUUUGAAAAACAAAUAAAAAAGGCAAAGUUAUGUGAACAUACCUUGUCGUCAUGCUUUUCUUCAUCUUCUUUCUCCUUUUCUUCUUCCUUCUCUUCAUCUCUUUUUUCUUCUUCCUUCUCUUCAUCUGGCUGAUGUUUCCCCAUUUUGGCAGUAUCAUCCUCCAAAUGUAGGGACCUCACAUCACCUCCAGAGCAGCUAGCUUUGUCAGACAUUGGAUUUUUGGGGCUUUGGCUAAUUCUUGGUUUAAGCAUGCUUGGAUCAAAAUUGGGAAUUAAUUGGGAAAGCUGACUCAGGAAAUGCUCCCUCUCAGCCUCUACCAAUUGUUUUGUCCUAGCCUCCAUCCUUAAGGCCUCUUCCCUUGCCUUAGCCUCCAUCUUUUUAGUCUCUUCUUGAAGGAGAACUCUUAAACUGUCCUUCAAACGGUCGUCAAAGCUCACCCUCUGUGGUUUGGGCAAAUUGAAAUAUUGCCUUGGGGAAACACCAGCACCAACUCCCCUCACCCUGCCUGGAUGCUCGGGGCCCAAAGCCAUGGUCAGCACAUCAUUGCUGCCAUCUACUCUGACUUUGCCUUCCGAGACUUGUUUCUGCAAUUCAUCCUAAAACAAAGAUAAACAAAAAAACACACGACGGUUAUUUAUGUACAAACGACGUAUUAUAUAAUUUCACACGACGCAAUAACGUAUAAACCGACGUUAUUAUAACUUAUCACGACGGUAGUUAUACCGACGUGGUUAUUUAUUUAAAACGACGAAAUGAAUAAACAACCGACGUCUUAUGCUAUAAUUAAAGAAAACAGAGUAGUGAUUCCUAUUUAGACCGUUAACGACGUUUUUAAAAAAGUUUCAACGUGGUAAUAUCAUUCACACGACGCGAAAAUGAACCACCGACGUCUUAUGCUAUAAUUACAGAAAACAUAGUAGUGAUUCCUAUUUAGACCUUUAACGACGUUUUUAAAAACUUUUCGACGUGGUAAUAUCAUUCACACGACGAAAAAUAUAACAUACGACGUAAUAAGAAUAAUUCACAGUUUAAUAAAAAUUUAAAACAGAGUGAUAGUAGGCUUACAAUUAAUUUUGCUUUCUCUGCCACCUUUGGAUCAGGGAUGUUACCAUGUUUGUCCUGUCUAGCUCUCUUCCAUAAGGUAGAUCGAUCAAUUUCUACCCCAGGCAUGGUUUCCUCCAAUUGAUCCUCCAAUCCAGCAUAUCCUUUUCGAGACAAUCGAUGAUUGUACUCGAGUUUCUCCCUAAUCUGUGCAUGUUGAGAAUGCACAGACUCAAAAUCUUUGGAUAGCCUUGAAGCUACAAAGGAAUCCCAUUGUGCUUUCUCUAUGAAUUUAUAUGUUUCAGGGGGUUGGCUUAAUUUCACCCUGUCAUUGGUGUAUAGAAGGAUAUAAUGCCUCGUUAGUGUAGACUUGAAAUCCUUCCAUUUCUUGGCAGCAGAAGCUAAAACAGAGGUCUUGCCCCCUUGGCCUACGACAAAAGCCAUGUCAACUGCUUCCCAAAUCUGCUCCUUUAUAUCCUUGGGGAUUUGGGACCAUUUCUUGUCCACAAGUGGGAUCCUGGAGCGUGCCAACACACCAAUAUACGACUGCAUCUCAAUAUGUGCUUGGCCAACACCUUUCCCCCUUUUAUUGUACUCAACAAUUGGCCUCAGUUUCUGAAGCUUUCUCUUCACAACACGAGGCAUUGUGCUCAUACCUCGACCAGUCUUUGAAUCAUCAGAGAUUGUUGUCUGGCUGGUUGGUUCUGUCUCAGCAGAUGAUGAAGCAAACUUCAUCUUCUUCGAAGACUUCAUCUCCUUCGAAGACUUGUCUUGAGGAGCUACCAUUCCAAGCUUCUUGGAGCCAGAAUCCUUAGUUUGUUGUUGAGAAACCAUUUUAACAGACAAAACUGCAAGUGAAAAUAUUUCAGGAAAACAUUAAGAACACAAACGACGGUAUUAAAAAAAUACGACGUAUGAUAUGAUUUUAGACGACGCAAUGAAAUAAUCUCAGACGUAAUAAAUGUUUAAAACCAUUAUUUAUAUAACGUCGUGGUAUAUAUGUUCACACGACGUCAAUAGUAAUACACCGUCGUAGUAAAACUAUUAUUUAUAUAACGUCGUGGUAUUUAUGUUCAUACGACGUCAAUAGUAAUACACCGUCGUGGUAUUAAUAUUCACACGACGUAAAACAAUAAGAUAUUUUGUCGUCUAUAUUAGAUACCAACCCUAGUUUCUUUUUCUUUAUAUUUUAUCAAAUAAGGGAAAAACAAAAACCAUUGUUCAGAGAAAUCAAACCUGCAAUUAAACAAGCAUAUAAAAAAAGACUAUUAUUUUAAAAACAACUUUGUCAAUUUUCAGACGACGCUAGAACAACUGACGAACCGUCGUGGUCUACCGUCGUCUUAUUUAGUUGAGGUAGUUGUCUUCAAAGUUGGAAACUUUCCCUCUUUGUCUGUAUAUUUUAUCAAACUUGGAAAGAAGUAAGAUGAUUUUGGCCAGAAAAAAGGUAAAAAGAUUUUUCAAACAAAAAACGUAUGAGCAUGCAAAACAGUAACCAAAAUAGUGAAAAUGAAAGCUUACCUUUUGCGUGCAAUGAAAGCAAGAGGAAGAUGAUCGAUGUUUAAGUUCAGAGACGACGAAGAAGACGAGAGGAAGACGAUGAGAAACUCUGACAAUGCUCUGACAAGGAAAAAAGACGAAAAGGUUUCUCUGGGAGAUUGAAAUUUUUAAUCGGUUUGGAAACAGUGCAUGUGUAAGUCGAAAAGUUGCUUACAUAUAAAACCAUUUCAAAAAAAUAAUACGGCGGUUACAUUUAACUACGUCGUUUUUAACUAACACGACGCAAUAUUUUUCGUUCGACGUGGAAUCAUUUCAUUUAACGUCGUUAGGUUUAAUAUAACCGACGUGGAUUUUAAUUUUUAAAUUAUGAAUAGAAUUUUUUUUCCCGUGACCUUUCAGUUUAUUUUUCAAUUACAGUGCGUUAUAAAUAGAGUUUUUUUUCCGGAGGAAAUUUAAAACGAAGGAAAUUAAUAUUCUGCAAUAUGUAAAGUUUCUUUUUUGGAUGACAGAUUUAAAUAAAAUAAGAAUAUAAAAACAACGAAUGUGUAAGUCAAGUAGACGAAAAGUUGCUUACAUAUAAAACCAUUUCAAAAAAAUAAUACGGCGGUUACAUAUAACUACGACGUAUAAAGUACAAAAUACGACGGUAAAUUUAACUUCGGACGUGGUAAAUAAAUACGACAGUAGUGUUGUAGGUACCGUCGUAGUAAACUCAAAAAUUAAAGUACAUAAGUAAUAACUCGCGUCAUGGUAGAUUAUUUAAGACGUCGUGAUUAUUAAUGUACCGACGUGGAGUUCUGUAAUAUACGUCAGUAAUACCGACGUUGAUUUUACAAUUUAAACGGCGAUUUUUUGGUAAGGACCGCCGUUGGUUUUAAAAAUUUAUUCUAUAAAUUUGUCGCUUUCAUUCAUUUUCGCGGUUUACAUUUAGGGUUCCAAGUUCUUCCUCUCUCAGAGACACUGUCUCUCACAUCUCAAAGACAAUAAUUUGGAUGUCUUUCUCAAAGAGAAAUUGAGCUUACAUUUAGGCUAGUUGACAAGAAGAAGCUUGUCAACUAGCCUUCUCACUUCCUUGAUCAAGCCUGAUAGGACACUUAGUGCUUCUGAAUACUCCUUGCUUUCCAUCAAAAGAGAUGCAAGCCUGGCCUCCACUCGCUGUCGAAGGAAAGUUCGCUUCUCAGGGAAAUCUGAAGAUCAGAUGUGCCUGAUCCUCUGCUUGAUUUUUUUGACUAAGAAGAUCCGUCAGAUUUGUGAUAGCCUCUUCCUUUAUCCGUAGAGCUUCAGAAGAAGAAGAUGGGUUUCAAGAAUGCGAUAAAGAAUAGAAAUUGCUUCAGAUGGCCUCUAAAGCAUGAGCAAUCGAAUCAGUAGUUGCUGGGAGAUAUGAUGAAGACAUUGUCAAUGCUUUGAACUAUACAAGUCCUGCAGAAAGAUGAAGGACCAAACUGUUAAAGAAACUGAAAUAACGGUGGUUUUCUGUUCUACCGUCGUCUUUUCUCGUCGUCUAUAUUAAGGUAAGAUGGCGGUAGAUUUAUAAUUACCGACGUAGAUUAUUUUGUUAAACGUCGUUAAGUGUACUACAACCGACGUGGAUUUUAUUUUUAAAUUAUAAAUAGAGUUUUUUUUCCCGAAUUCUUUCAGUUUUAGUUUUCAAUUACAAAGCGUGAUAAAUAGAUUUUUCUUUCCUGAGGAAAUUUAAAAUGAGGGAAAUUAAUGUUCUAGAAUUUGUAAACUAACACGACGCAAUAUUACUAACCCGAGGAAAUUAUAAAUAGAUUUUGCUUUCCCGAAGAAAUUUUAAAUUAAUUCAGUUUGAAACAACGACGGUUUUUUGUUAUGCCGUCGUUUUUAACUAACACGACGCAAUAUUUGUUUUGCGACGUGGAAUCUUUUCAUUUAACGUCGUUAGGUUUAAUAUAACCGACGUGGAUUUGAAUUUUUAAAUUAUGAAUAGAAUUUUUUUUCCCGUGACCUUUCAGUUUAUUUUUCAAUUACAGUGCGUUAUAAAUAGAGUUUUUUUUUUCCGGAGGAAAUUUAAAAUGAAGGAAAUUAAUGUUCUGGAAUAUGUAAAGUUUCUUUUUUGGAUGACAGAUUUAAAUAAAGAAAGAAUACAAAAACAACGACUGUUUUUGUAUUACUGUCGUCGUUUUUCGUCGUCUUAAGUAAGACUAAGACGACGUAAUAUAUUUGUUGAGCGAUGUUGAUUUGUUUUUUAAACGUCGUUAGGUAUAAUAUAACCGUCGUUGAAAAUUGUCUCUCUGAUUGCAAAUUUGCAACGACGUUAGGUAUAAUAUUUGUAGAUACACAAACGCACACACAUCAUCAACUUCCAAAAAAUUGUCUCUCUGAUUGCAAAUCUGUGUCAUCUGUUAAGAUUAUGAUGUGGAACAGAGUUCCAUCUGGUAAGAUUUCGUAACCCUUGGGAUCUCAGACAAAUCUGAUUAUGUCGGCGGUCUUCUAUAUAAACCGUCGUGGUUAUUUCAAUUCUUGUCAUUAAGUAGAUCUACCGACUAGGAUAAGAAAAUCAAAGAAAAAAAUUGUUAACAAAAAUUCUUAUUAAGACGACGGUUUAAAUUAAAGGUACGACGUAUAAAAUGAAUAAAUACGACGUUAAAUUUUAUUGUACGAUUUAAAGAUAACGUCGUAGAACUAUACGAGAAUGACGUCGAUAUAUUUAUAUUUUCCGUCGUUGUACAUUAAUUUAAUACGGCGAUAUUUUGUAUUUUAAAGCCGUGGAUUUGUUUGUAAUUAUACGGCGUCUUGUACGAAAACCUCGUCGUGUUAUUUUAUGAGUAAAAACGGCGGUUUUUAUUGAAAUCGUCGUCUUUACUUUCUACGUCGGUCGAUUCAUAACUUCUGCCGUUCUUUGUUGGCAUUGAUUUUACACUGCGGAAAUCUGUUUCAAAUAGACGUCGGUUGUUUAAUUAGGUACGUCGUUGUUUUUGAAUAGCCAUUUGAAUCUCCAUUUUUUAGUUGUCUAAGGUUGUAUUACACGACGGUGUUUUUAGAACCGUCGUCUUUUUAAAAACCACGACGGUUUUCACUUAGACCGUCGUUGUUUUCUGGUCGUCUUUUUCACUUUUUGUAGUAGUGGGAGGAAGAGAAGAGGGGAGAGAGGAGGAAGAAUAGUGGCUUCCUCCCUCGUCAAAGUGAACUUGUCAUUUUCUUAUUGGUUCUUAGUGUGUUAAAAUUUUAUAAGAAGAAAUUAGUCAUUAAAAAAUGAUAAGUGACUAUUUUGGGUUAAAGCCCUUUUUUUUUUUUUUUUUUGGGAUUUAACUACAACGAUCCUUGAACUUAUACGAGUUCAAAUUUAGUUAAUUCAGUAUAAUAAUUAAAAAAAUUGUUUAUUUUUUUAAAGAUUAUUGUAUCCAAAUUAUUAGUUUUACCCCUCAGUUUUAUCAAAUUUGAAAAAAUAACUAAAUUGAAACAUGCACGAGAUCUGAAGGACCAAAAUAAAGCGAGAUAUAAAUUUAGGGAUCAUUGCAGUUAAAAAAACCCUUGAAUUUUACUAGCAAAAUGAAAAGCCAAGAGAAUAAUUACGAAAAAUAUAUAUAUAAAGAUUAUGCAUGUGAUAUUUCUAGUUAGGUGGUCACUGCACGUAGUGGAUUAGAUUCCACAUUGAAUAUCCAUAUCAAUUGGUAAUUAUCUUUUGUCAAGACAAUAGAAAAUGAUUUAAUUUUUACAAUAGUUCUUGCAUGCUAAUCAAUUACCAUAUCCGAAUAAAGUGACAUAAUAUAUUCUUGCUGGCGACUUAUAGUUUGCAUUCAUGUUUGUAUUGGACUCGACUCACAAAGAUUCAGAUGCUUUUUAAACCAAAAGGAAAUUGAAGAAAUAGAAGGAAAUCUUGUAUAGGAACAUGAUUGUUUUGGCAUAAAGUUUAGGUUGGAGGCUAUGAUUUCAGCAACUUCCUUUUGUUACCAACAAAUACAGAAAAGGGUGGGGGAAAGUAAUUAAAGGAGGCACUUCAAAAUAAUGGGGCUUUUAAAAAAAAAAAAAAAUAUAUAUAUAUAUAUAUAUAUAUAUCAAGGGGCAAGUCCAUUUAAAUAAUGCUUGAAUAUGUACUGUUAAGUUUUCUUUUUGAAAAUUAGUGAUAAUUGUAUUCAAUAAUUGGACACAAAGAUCAAAUACUCAUAAAGGGUUAGUAUAAAGAUGUAUGCACAGUAAUUGCAGAGGGUUAAUCCAUAUAUAAGAGGAUACAAUGGCGACAUUGCACAGCUUGUAUCUCCACUAAUAGCCCUAAAAGACCAAAUAUAUUUCAAUGUAACAGUCACAUGCCUGAGCAAAUCAGACAUGUAAUACAACGCCCAAAAUUACAAAUACAACGACAACUAACUCUCACAAGUAGAGACUAAAACACAAAUAAACACCCAACUCACAAAGAGUUGUUGGUUUCAGUAUUUUAAAAAGUAGGAAAAUUACCCUUAAAAUUAUAAAUUAUUACACUAUUGGCCUUUUUGAACGUCAAAUUUCAAAUGAUUAAAAAGUUGACAUAUCCAUAUGAAAAAAGAAAAAUUGACACAUCACCUAUACUAGAAGGUUAAAUAGAAUCUGUCCAACAAAUAAAAGGUUAAAUAGAAGGUUAAAGAUUUUCUAUAAGUUCUUAUUUGUUGUCCAUAUGACAUGUUCAUUCAGGUUUGUCAUCCAUGUCCGCAUAAAACGGGCUAAUUAAGUGUUAGGUAAAAAUAACAAAGGUUAAAUUUCCCUCCACUCUCUAUUUUUCAUAGGUGUACCGCUCUUUACGGAAAUGCUCUUAAUUUGCUUCAUAACAACUCUAUAUAAAAGGCGUUGGAUGGUUAACCUUUGAAUCAAGGCAUCUUGAAUCAACAUUCAACAUCCCUCUGUCUGUGUUUUUGUUUCACACGCGUGCACGUACACACACAAAAAUCAAGAUGGAGGGAUCCAAACGUAUGUUUUCAACUGUCUUCAUCCUCGUCCUGCUCUUUGUGGCUAUUGGUAUCUCUCUCUUUCCUCAUUUUAAUUUCAUCUUUAUAUUUGAUUAGUGAUAUAUUUCUUUCCAAUGCUGAAAGACGUUUCAAGUUUGAAUCCACCUUCUCUCAUUCAUUUUUAUCGAUGAAUCUUUGGCAGGGACGGGUCCAAUGGUUGCUGAGGGCAAGGUCGAAACAAAGGAGACGUCGAGGACUUGUGAGUCUUUGAGCACGAAAUUCAAGGGACCUUGCAUCCGAUCAAGCAACUGUGCAAAUAUUUGCGAAGAAGAAGGCUUCAAGGGAGGCAAAUGUGUUGGCUUCAGGCUGAGAUGUACGUGCACUAAGAAUUGUUAGUGAUAUAACACACUAACUUAUUUUGGUGCAUGGGAUUGAGAUGAAUGAAAAUUUUUUACCCUUUUUUUCGUUUUGUUUAAGAGAAUAAAUGACUAACCCUAAUAUAAAUUUUGGGGUUGUGUCUGUGUUUUUGUUCUUAUGCGCUAACAGUGCGUGAGUUAUUUUGUAAUCAAUAAAAAAAAAAUAUAUCGUUCAUUUCUUAAUGUAAUGAUACUUUUUUUUCGCUAUACAAAUGUGAAUUUUCUAGCAUUACUUUAAACUUUUUACCAAUGCGUAAUAUUGAUUAUACUAUUUGUAACUUUAGGGGCUGCUUUUGUUAGUUUUUAGAGGCCAUGAACCAACUCUCACUCACCUCAAGCCACAGAGAUGCAGAAUGUAAUUGAUCCAAAUUAGUUAUAUGUACAACAAUGGAAACUUUCAUAUCCACAUCACUAAGUGACUUAAUAUGGCGCACACAACUUCUUUUAUUUCUUUUUUCUUUUUCUUUUUUGGUCGAGAAAUUUUAGGAUUGCCUUUAUAAUUUAUCCCAAAAAAGCCACUAGCUAUAAAGGGCCAUUGCAAUAACGGAGCAGUCUAACAUCAAAAUUAAAACAAUCUGGUCCGCCUCCACUAACAAUCAUGAGGAUCGAAGAAACUCUGGCAUAUGCAUCCCAACUAAGAUUGCAAACUCAGAAUAAUCAAACAGAGAUAAAGCUUGAAAAAAUCAAGCCAUAACAACACAAAUAAAACUCUCACAAAGGAGAGAUGAAAAGCUCUCACAAAAGAGAGAUGAAAAUCUCUUACAAGUGAGAGGUGAAAAGCUCUCACAAAAAGAGAGCUGAAAACUACAUAGAUAACUCAAAGAGUCUCUGUGACUUAUUCCGAACAUAAAGAAACCGCAAAAAGGAUGGUGGUUGAGAUCCGAUGCCGAAACGCAUGUGGAGAUCCAACGCCGAGACGCAGCCGCUUGUGAUGGUUGGAGGAAAAUCAUAACAAAACGAAGACAAACAGGGAAAACCUUUUGUCUCUGAAUAUGAGGGGAGAGAAGAGAGGGAGGAAGAGAAGAGGGGAGAGAGGAGGAAGAAUAGUGGCUUGCUCCCUCGUCAAAGUGAACUUGUCAUUUUCUUAUUGGUUCUUAGUGUGUUAAAAUUUUAUAAGAAGCAAUUAGUCAUUAGAAAAUGAUAAGUGACUAUUUUUGGGUUUUUUUUUCUCCCAAUAGGCUCUAAGAAAUUUCGUGUAUAUCCAUGUUAGAAUGGGUCUACUUGUGGAAAGCCCUUUUUUUUUUUGGGAUUUAACUACGACGAUCCUUGAGCUUAUACGAGUUUCAUUUUGGUCCAUCAAUUCUUGCACGAGUUCUAAUUUAGUUAAUUCAGUAUAAUAAUAAAAAAAUUGUUUGUUUUUUAAAGAUUAUUGUAUUUAAAUUAUUAGUUUUACCCCUCAGUUUUACCGAAUUUGAAAAAAAAACUAAAUUGGAACACGUACGAGAUUUGAAGGACCAAAAUAAAACUAGAUAUAAAUUUAGGGAUCAUUGCAGUUAAAAAAACCCUUGAAUUUUACUAGCAAAAUGAAAAGCCAAGAGAAUAAUUAUGAAAAAUAUAUAUAAAGAUUAGGCAUGUGAUAUUUCUAGUUAGGUGGUCACUGCACCUAGUGGAUUAGAUUCCACAUUGAGUAUCCAUAUCGAUUGGUAAUUAUCUUUUGUCAAGACAAUAGAAAAUGAUUUAAUUUUUACAAUAGUUCUUGCAUGCUAAUCAAUUACCAUAUCCGAAUAAAAUGACAUAAUAUAUUCUUGCUGGCGACUUAUAGUUUGCAUUCAUGUUUGUAAUGGACUCGACUCACAAAGAUUCAGAAGCUUUUUAAACCAAAAGGAAAUAGAAGAAAUAGAAGGAAAUCUUAUAUAGGAACAUGAUUGUUUUGGCAUAAAGUUUAGGUUGGAGGCUAUGAUUUCAGCAACUUCCUUUUGUUACCAACAAAUAAAGAAAAGGGUGGGGGAAAGUAAUUAAAGGAGGCACUUCAAAAUAAUGGGGCUUUUAAAAUAUAUAUAUAUAUAUAUAUAUAUAUCAAGGGGCAAGUCCAUUUAAAUAAUGCUUGAAUAUGUACUGUUAAGUUUUCUUUUUGAAAAUUAGUGAUAAUUGUAUUCAAUAAUUGGACAUAAAGAUCAAAUACUCAUAAAGGGUUAGUAUAAAGAUGUAUGCACAGUAACUGCAGAGGGUUAAUCCAUAUAUAAGAGGAUACAUUGGCGACAUUGCACAACUUGUAUCUCCACUAAUAGCCCUAAAAGACCGAAUAUAUUUCAAUGUAACAGUCACAUGCCUGAGCAAAUCAGACAUGUAAUACAACGCCCAAAAUUACAAAUACAACGACAACUAACUCUCAGAAGUAGAGACUAAAACACAAAUAAACACCCAACUCACAAAGAGUUGUUGGUUUCAGUAUUUUAAAAAGUAGGAAAAUUACCCUUAAAAUUAUAAAUUAUUACACUAUUGGCCCUUUUGAACGUCAAAUUACAAAUAAUUAAAAAGUUGACAUAUCCAUAUAAAAAAAGAAGAAUUGACACAUCACCUAUACUAGAAGGUUAAAUAGAAUCUGUCCAACAAAUAAAAGGUUAAAUAGAAGGUUAAAGAUUUUCUAUAAGUUCUUAUUUGUUGUCCAUAUGACAUGUUCAUUCAGGUUUAUCAUCCAUGUCCGCAUAAAAUGGGCUAAUUAAGUGUUAGGUAAAAAUAACAAAGGUUAAAUUUCUCUCCACUCUCUAUUUUUCACCGGUGUACCGCCCUUUACGGAAAUGCUCUUAAUUUGCUUCAUAACAACUCUUUAUAAAAGGCGUUGGAAGGUUACCCUUUGAAUCAAGGCAUCUUGAAUCAACAUUCAACAUCCCUCUGUCUGUGUUUUUGUUUCACACGCGUGCACGUACACACACAAAAAUCAAGAUGGAGGGAUCCAGACGUAUGUUUUCAACUGUCUUCAUCCUCGUCCUGCUCCUUGUGGCUAUUGGUAUCUCUCUCUUUCCUGAUUUUAAUUUCAUCUUUAUAUUUGAUUAGUGAUAUAUUUCUUUCCAAUGCUGAAAGACGUUUCAAGUUUGAAUCCACCUUCUCUCAUUCAUUUUUAUCGAUGAAUCUUUGGUAGGGACGGGUCCAAUGGUUGCUGAGGGCAAGGUCGAAACAAAGGAGACGUCGAGGACUUGUGAGUCUUUGAGCACGAAAUUCAAGGGACCUUGCUUCCGAUCAAGCAACUGUGCAAAUAUUUGCGAAAAAGAAGGCUUCAAGGGAGGCAAAUGUGUUGGCUUCAGGCUGAGAUGUACGUGCACUAAGAAUUGUUAGUGAUAUAACACACUAACUUAUUUUGGUGCAUGGGAUUGAGAUGAAUGAAAUUUAUUACCCUUUUUUUCGUUUUGUUUAAGAGAACAAAUGACUAACCCUAAUAUAAAUUUUGGGGUUGUGUCCGUGUUUUUGUCUUAUGCGCUAACAGUGCGUGAGUUAUUUUGUAAUCAAUAAAAUAAAAAAUAAUAUCGUUCAUUUCUCAAUGUAAUGAUACUUUUUUUUUCUCUCUAUAAAAUUGUGAUCUUUCUAGCAUUACUUUAAACUUUUUACCG
rnacentral:lncRNA from 1 species